rnacentral:rRNA from 1 species
AAUAUUGCACAAUGGAGGGAACUCUGAUGCAGCAACGCCGCGUGAGUGAAGAAGGUUUNAGGACCNUNAAACUCUGUCAUUGGGGNAGAAUAAAUGACGGUACCCAAUGAGGAAGCCCCGGCUAACUACGUGCCAGCAGCCGCGGUAAUACGUAGGGGGCAAGCGUUGUCCGGAAUUAUUGGGCGUAAAGGGUGCGUAGGCGGCCUUUUAAGUCAGGUGUGAAAGCCCACGGCUUAACCGUGGGAUUGCAUUUGAAACUGGAAGGCUUGAGUAUCGGAGAGGGUAGUGGAAUUCCCAGUGUAGCGGUGGAAUGCGUAGAUAUUGGGAGGAACACCAGUGGCGAAGGCGACUACCUGGACGAAAACUGACGCUGAGGCACGAAAGCUAGGGGAGCAAACAG